AUCUUAGCAUUGCUUUAGCCGUCAAGCUAAAGGUUUAGCUUCAUACUGCCAUAUUUCAGAGCAACAAAAUAUUUAAACGGUCUCAGAUCAUGGACAGUGAAGUGUCUGACACUGACCAUGUAGCAGUGCCUGAGAACACUGGUAUGGAGGGGGAGAACGCACCUCUUUACUGUAUUUGUCGGAAACCAGACAUCAACUGCUCCAUGAUGCUUUGCCAUGAUAAAUUGGUCAGUUGACAACCAGGAGCCGUACACCUUAACCUCAGAGGCCAGGACAUCCAGGGGCAGUGUGAACACGCACUUGCUUAAAUGGGA